GUGGGGAAUCUUGCGCAAUGGGCGAAAGCCUGACGCAGCCAUGCCGCGUGAAUGAUGAAGGUCUUAGGAUUGUAAAAUUCUUUCACCGGGGACGAUAAUGACGGUACCCGGAGAAGAAGCCCCGGCUAACUUCGUGCCAGCAGCCGCGGUAAUACGAAGGGGGCUAGCGUUGCUCGGAAUUACUGGGCGUAAAGGGCGCGUAGGCGGACAGUUUAGUCAGAGGUGAAAGCCCAGGGCUCAACCUUGGAAUUGCCUUUGAUACUGGCUGUCUUGAGUUUGGGAGAGGUGAGUGGAACUCCGAGUGUAGAGGUGAAAUUCGUAGAUAUUCGGAGGAACACCAGUGGCGAAGGCGGCUCACUGGCUCGGUACUGACGCUGAGGUGCGAAAGCGUGGGGAGCAAACAGGAUUAGAAACCCGUGUAGUCC
rnacentral:rRNA from 1 species